ensembl:lncRNA
GCAUUCCCAGAGAGAUGUGAGGUAAGAGGGAUGGGGGGGAUUGCAGUGGUGGGACUGCAUUUACCAUCUUGGUGCCACAGGACAGGCCCCAUGGCUCCCUGUGAGUCUGGAUGCGCACUGUCAUUGGGAUGGAUGAGCUGAAGUUCUUGACAUAUCCUCUAGAGGUUAACGCUUCCAAAGAGGUAACUCACGAACUCGAGGCAUAUUACCAGCCUCAGAGGAAGAGUGACCCAUUGCUCAGGACACAAACCCAGCACUGGGAUUACUGCUUUGAUGUUGAAGCCAGAUGAUCCAGACUUCCUGUGUGACCAUGAACACCAGGGCUGAAUUCGACUACUUUAAUCUUAUUCAUCCCCUAGCCCAUUUACUUCAGAAGCUGAGACUCUGCAACAAACACAUGAUGAAAGGUUCGUAUGGAUGUAUUCAUCACGCAUUCCAAUGUGAAUAACGAGCAGUAUUAUGAAAUAGGAAAUGAAAGUCCACAGGAACCCAUGGUCCUGGGUUUCUUGUAAACCCUCUGCCUGAUGAGCUGUGCAGGACAGAUGGCUGCGGUGAGCCACCUGGGAACCAGUACUCCCCAACAGUCUGCAGGUAAGAGUGGCACCAUCAUAAGAGAGCUCUCACGUUCACCAAGGGCUCGUGGAAGAGGGAGGACAGCAAGGAGAAGGCACAACAGACAGCUUUCCCCAAGAGAGAGCAGCAGGGCUGGUGGGAGGACAGCACAAUUGCACAAAGCGAUGAGCAGGGAUGGAGGUUUGGUAGAACAAACUCAUUUUGCUUACAUGUCAGAGGAGGUGUGAGGUGUUCCCGGAGGAAUCAGAUUUUAUGCAAAAGUUGCUGAACUUUCCAUCUUAUGCUCUGAAGUGAGCAAUUUGCCUCAGGGCUACUCUGGAAAAUUUAUCCUGGAACUCUUUAAACAGAUGCUGACUUAACAAACAAACAAACAACAACAAAAACUGUAAACUGGGAUUUUUUCCUUACUGUGUUAGGCAAGGCUAAAUGAAUUUGAGCUUUCACAGACUGAAGAUUUUCUGAAGAUGCCAACCACAGUUCAUUCUCCUCCUCAAGAGGCAGAAAGAGAAGAUGCAGAAGUCUUGGAAGACCACAGUCCCCUUUUCAUCACUACUUGGUGUUCUUGCAGUCUCCUAACAGCAGAAGGAAACACCAUCCUGCCUCGGAGCUACUGAAUAGCCACAGCUGAGGAGUGCUGA